rnacentral:rRNA from 1 species
GACGAACGCUGGCGGCGUGCUUAACACAUGCAAGUCGAACGGACUACUUUGCUUCGGUAAGGUGGUUAGGGGCGAACGGGUGAGUAACGCGUAGACAACCUACCUCUUAGAGGGGGACAACAUCGCGAAAGCGGUGCUAAUACCGAAUGAAGUGACUUUCCUGCAUGGGAGAGAUAGUAAAGGUGGCCUCUAUUUAUAAGCUACCACUUAGAGAUGGUACUGCGUCUGAUUAGCUAGUUGGCGGGGUAACGGCCCACCAAGGCGACGAUCAGGAGCCGGUCUGAGAAGAUGAACGGCCACAUUGGGACUGAGACACGGCCCAAACUCCUACGGGAGGCAGCAGUGGGGAAUCUUCCGCAAUGGACGAAAGUCUGACGGAGCAACGCCGCGUGAGUGAAGAAGGUUUUCGGAUCGUAAAGCUCUGUUGUUUGAGACGAAUGUGCCUGUUUCGAAUAGGGAUAGGUAAUGACGGUAUUAAACGAGAAAGCCACGGCUAACUACGUGCCAGCAGCCGCCAGUA